rnacentral:misc_RNA from 1 species
CAGAGUUCGUGCCCUCACGGGUAGACCUCCCACCCUUGAAUACAUACCUUUGUUGCUUUGGCGGGCCGCUUCGGCUACUGGCUCUGCUGGUACGUGCCCGCCAGAGGACCCUAAACUCUGAAUAUACGUGUCGUCUGAGUACUAUAUAAUAGUUA